CAAUGGAAGAAUAAACAAUUCCCUGAGUAAGUGUGUGCUGCAAGUCCAUUGCUUCACUUAAUUUUCCGGAGAACAGAGGAAAGGGAAGCCUUCUGUGGUACAGCAGAUGAAGUUUGUCUGGAAGUCCCUGUCUUUACAGAGGGGGACUGCAAUUUUUGAGAAGAAAAAAUUAAUUAUCAGGCCAUUAUGUUCAUCCUCCAUCAAGAAGAGAGAAAAUUUUUCUUUGAAACUCAAGGAAAAUUUUCUGCCAGCCUUGACAGCCCUUUCACAUAAGAACAAACUACAGUGCAGCAAUCCAAAGCCAACAAGAUUUAUGGCUGAAACAAUCUCCUGAUUUUAGAUACCAGCUCUGUAAGUCAUCCAACCUUCCUCAGAAGCCACAAAGAAAGGGAAAGGGGGAACUGAGAUUUCAGUUACGCCAGAGGUCCUUGCAAUCUGAAGUGAAAACCACAGCAUUUGACAUAGCAUGGAUCCUGAACUUGAACCACUGAAAGGAAAGCAAAAGCACUCUGACAGGAGAUUUCUUACAUGCAAGCCUCAUGAAAGCAAGUGGGAUCCACAGCUGCUACUGCCAGGUAGUCCCUGGCCACCUAAAUCUGCCUCACUGCCAGUUAGUCAAAUUAAAAGACCACUUUUUGCUUUUCUCUGCAUCAAAAUAUUUUGAAAUAACAAUAACAAAAUAAAAGUUAUAUUAAUUUCAGAAUAUUUUGAAUCACCCAGUCUUUAGAGGAUAUCUGGCAUAUCCUAAGGGAAAUGUCACUGUACUGGAGAUCUAGGGACAUGGCCCAUACAUUUCCUCUAGCUUUUCAAGAGUGUCAUUCUUUCUCUAGCUCUUGUUGAGAGCUUUGAUGGAGUUGGAAAGAUAGUCUGUUGUAGAACAUUUUCUUAUUUCAGCCUUUAGCAGAAAAUUACACAGUACUGCAUGUGGUAAUUAUUUUUUAGGAAUCAAGAUGUCCAUAUUAGACUGUUCAAAGACACUGACUACUUCAGAAUGAGCAGAGGCUGGAUGGAUGGUUUUAUGGUUUAUAUAUACACACCAAACUCUUAAAUGUAGAGAUCUCCAAACCAGAAUACCUUUGCUUAUAAAACAGCUCCAGUUUUGCAUCACUGAAGAUUAACAAAUAGAGCAUUGAGGGGAAAAUAACAUAUAUUUAUAUAACUGUAAAUACCAGCAUGGAGCAGAAACACAUUAAUGCACUUUGUCUGGUAUAUUAGUGAGUGUUUUCCCUUAUGCCCCAGUUUCUGAAAUAGCAUGAAAAUCAAUAUUAUUAUAUCUUUCUACUUAACAAAUUCCCCUCACUAUUGCUAAGAAUUACUUACGAACAGGUACAAAUCACUAAUUCUUUUUAUAAUCAGCCCCUGAAUAUCUGGGGAUAAAAGAAAGGGCACAGCCACCAAGCUCCUGGUAACUACAGAUGCUGAGUGCCAUCAAGAGCUUGCUUUGGAAACUGCCUGUCCUCUGCACCCAGGAGCUGGGGAUCAGCAGGCUGUGCCAAAAUAAACCCUCAUACAUUCCCUGUUCCUUCAAUAGACACAUCUGCUUUUCUCUUGACUCUGAUUACUGGGAAUGGACUGCUGAAAGCCCCACACAAUCAGGUAGUUUCAAUUCCUUUUCUAAGCAGUGUGUGUGGAUGUUGUGUGCAACAGGGGGAAGCACUUUUUAGUCAUAGUCUGCAUUGCUGAGGGCUUUGGAGGUGUAUCCAGAACCAUACUUGGACACAAAUGUCUAGACUUAAACUGUGUGUAAGCUGCAUGGUAAAUGGACCCCAGGAAAUGAUUUAGCACAGAAAAUUGAAUAUUGGAUCAUUUUGCCUUUUCCAAAGACAGUGAGCUAUAUAGCACUGUGGAUAGCUAGGGACACUAGUAAGAAUCCUUUAUGUAAGGAUCUCCUGGCCCUGUGUGCACUGUUGUGGAGGAUGGCAUUUCUCCAAGAUUUCCCAGAUGCAGCACUUGAAAAUAAAAAUUAUGCAUGAUAUUGACAAUAAAAAGUGCAUAUUUUUUGUUCAAGAGAGCUUCCUGUCAAUUGAAAUAAAUCUCCAGACACUGUUUGAAAUUUGCAGUUCCCCAAUUUUUAGUUUGGAAAGGAUAAAGUCCCCAGUCUGCUUGUAAAUGACUCAUUUCCUGAAUGCCACACAAACCCAGCUAGUAAAGGGUGAUUUCUCUGUACAUGGCAAAUGAAAGGCUCUGGACAAAUUAAAGUUCAGAGGUUGUUAGGAUCUGGAGCUCUUGUUAGAGCUAGACCUAAUCAUAAGAUAAUAGUAUUGUAUCUAUACUAAUCAUGGAUUAUGAUAAAGUUUUAGCUGCUCCUAUCUCUUCCCCAUAGUGAUAGGAGUGGCAGUAUAAUCUAAGGACACACAUGGAAGGCCUUCAAAGGAAUGAUAUUGGUCUUUUGACAGAUGGAGAAAAGGAGGCACAGAGCAGGUAAAUUAAUUGCACCAAAAGUCUGAUGGAACAGUCAAUUUCAGACAAACUCCUGCAAGUAAUUUUGAUCUCUUAUAACACAUGUGAAGGCAUUUCUAAUGCUUCUGAGGAAAAGAGGAAUGAACUUGUCUUUAACCUCUGCGCAUGACACCUCAUCUUUAAAAAUGUGGAUAUCUUCAUUAUGACCAACAAGAUGGAGAUAGCCCCUUGUUCUAGUCUGCUCUGGAGAGUGAGACACACGGACAUGUUACAGACACUCAUUUCCUGGCUUAGGCAACUUUACUCUUUCACUUAGAGUCAGGAAAAAAACACAGAGUUGCUGUGCAGUGAGGUGAGUACAAUUGCUGGAGACCCUGGUGUACAAAGGUUACUAAGGAAACAAAGGUGCCUACUGUAAAUCUAUGCAUGGAUAAUCCUCUUUACUCCCAAAUAUACAAUAAGAAAUAUCCUGAGAAUAUAAACUGAGUGUUUUGUAAAUACUGGCUUAUUUUGUUUACCUACUUUGUUUAUGCUAAAUACCUUUGCCAUAUAUAUAAAAGUAAGACAAACCCAACUAUUCCUGUUAAGAGCACUGUGAAGAAGUACAAAGUUUUCUUUUCUUCCAAUAGCACAUUCUCGCAAGAAAGCAUCUUUAAGAGCAUUACUGCUACUGGCAGGACAGAUAUUUUGAUUCCAAAUUCCUGCAGGGGUGUGACACUCAGCUGCAGCUGUUGUGAAAGGCAGCUGCAGUGCUGUUAUCCAGCUGUGCAGACAGAAGCCCCCAUUACCCACCCAGGCUUAGCAAUACAAUGCAGUGGCUGGAUCUGAAAAUGCUGAUGAUGCUGCUUUACAACACGGAGACUGAGAGGCUCUCCAGAGAGCAGUUCUGCUUGCACUGCACUGUUGGCUUGGUGCAUGGCAGCAGCACCCAGCAGAGCCCAGCAGGAGAGCAGUGUCACUGGCAUUCUGCUGUGUCUCUGCAUCAUUGCCCAUUGCACUGUUUCAUAGGUGCAUGUGGAAGAGUGCAGCACCCAAGCAGAGUGCUCUGAGGCUCUUCAUGUUGGCCUCAGAUUAGCAUCAAUUUACACACCCAAUGUUACACACUCAAACUCAGAGUCCAAAGGGGCCGGAGACUGCCCUGCAGAGAUGUUGGAUAUUCAGGCUGAUCUCCAUCUCCUCUGACACACUUUGCAAAGCUCUUAAACUUCAGAGGAAGCAGAAUGUGGUUUUUGUAUCAAGGGCUCGCUAAAGUGAUGUUCUCAUGCCUCAGCAGUUAGAGAUACAGGCAAAAGCUCUUCAUUCUUUUUACUUUUGCAUGCUCAUUGUGGGGGGUGAAAAUGCACUGUAAGUGCUGCUGACAGCUAUGUCAGCCUUUGGGCACACAGUCAACUUCAGUGUGAGCACCUCUUAGCCCAGCAUAUGAGUAAUGCACAGUAGCCAUUACCAAAAAUGUCACUGAUCUAUUUUUCCAUUACCUUCAGUGUACUUUGAAACAGGCUUAAUGGAGGUGAAUUACUUUGUUUUAGGCAGCACUAUGAGAUUGUUCCUUUGGAAACUGCUUUAUGAAAACCACUGCAGCUCAUAUAGAUUGUUCCUUUGGAAACUGCUUUAUGAAAACCACUGCAGCUCAUAUAGAUGCAGAGAGAAUGUGGAUACUUUCUGAAAUUCUGAAAGGAAGAAGCAGGUUUACAGGUUAACUGUAAAUACUGUGAUUUCAUAAAUGACCAGAAGGACCAAAUGUUACGCAAAAGUAUGUUCAGAUCUGUCACCCACACAUACUGACUCUAUAAAGACAAAACAGUUGAUUCUGUAACUUAUUAAUGCUAGUAUUUUGCAUAUGUAUAGAACUUAUCCUAUAUAUCUUUAUCAUAAAACAAACUUUAUAAUAAAAUAAAUUUCAAGGUGUCUGCUCAGGACAUCCUCUGCCAUCCCCCAUAUACUUCAAAUUCAAUGUUAUCUCUAAAACUGUUAUACUUUGGGUUAGAUUUAGCUGUGUCCGCUGUGAUUUCUGGAACUCAUGAAUGAUUACCAUGCAGGUUAAAAUCAGUGUUUGAAUUACACACAGGACUUUAAGAAAAGACUGGAUGUGGCACUUAGGGCCAUGGUCUAGUUUCCAAGGUGGUGUUAGGUCGUAGGUUGGACUUGAUGAUCUCAAAGUUCUUUUCCAGCCUAGUUGAUUCUGUGUUCCUGUGACUCCUAACUCUAAUCUAAGAUCUUUCAAUACUUGUGUAACCUUGAUUACAUUCUUUGCCAUGAAUUUAUGCCCAUAUUCAACUAAAAUACACUUUUCUAUAUUCUUCCUCCAUGUCAAACCCAUGCAUUUGAAAAUGUUAGCACAUACACCCAGAGUAUUCAGGUUGUCAUCAAAUUUUAAGUACUGUUGAAAGUGAUAAUAUCUUUGUCACACUGAGCCUUUGAAAUACCAAAUUUUAUGCCUUUCCUGUGAAACAAAAUCAUAAAAAGACACUAAAUAAUGUACUUAACAAUGUACUAAAAAUCUUAUAUUUAAAGAAUUAUUUAUUAAAAUCUUUCUGAGGCCUGAUUUACAAAAGAUAGUAAAGAUAGCAGGUUGGUUUGAAAUAAAAUAAAUCUUGUAUUGACUGCAAUUAAAAUUAAUAUACUGGAAAAACCUGAAAAAAUAAUUUUCUGCUAGAUACUUUUCUGCUCCAUUGAGUAUUGCUUUGAGCAAUUGUACCUUAUCAUGUUGUGCUGAUAGCAGUGGGGUAAUUUUAUUACCUUAAUAAUACAACUGCAGUUAGCUAACAUUGCACUAUUUAGUUCAUGUAAGGAAGAAAAAUAUUAAUUUGUUUUAAAUAAAGGACUGUCUUUAAUAAGGCACUAACUGCAUCCCAAAAGACACAUAGAGACCUGUGCAAUGCUAAAUAAAGGAGUGAAGCCAAAUGAAAAAUAUCAUGGUAUUCCUCUUUUCACUUAGAAUAGAAUAAUGCCUUCUUUUCCUUUGACACCAACCACUGUAACAGCUCAGGAAGUGCUGGGACUCUUCUGGCUGAAUUUUGUGCACACCAUGGUGAAGGACAACAAGCAGGGGUGAGACUGUGAAAAGAAGAGGGAGCUGUGGAGUCGUUAGGAGAAGGCUUUGGAAGAGGCAAUGGCAUGUGCAUAGCUGGAAAGGCAGCUGUGGCUACAGGCUGCCUGUACAUGGUUCUUUUCAUAAAGAGUUAGUUUAGUUUCAGUACCCCAGGAUUUCCUCAAGUUACAAACCAACAGACAGUGUGUGAAACACAGAAACUCUAUUCUAUAACUGCUUAUAACAUCAAGCUUUAUAACAUUGGAGCGCUACUUUUCCUCCACAGAGGCCUUUUCUUAGCUGGAAAAAGUAAAUCAAGGAAGUGUCUGUCAUGCAGGUUGUACUAAAAUUAUGCUUUGGAAAAUAAACUUAUCUGUAAUAACGUG